UACAGAGGGGGCAAGCGUUGUUCGGAAUUACUGGGCGUAAAGGGCGCGUAGGCGGCCUUCUAAGUCGAACGUGAAAUCCCCGGGCUCAACCCGGGAACUGCGUCCGAGACUGGAAGGCUUGAAUCCGGGAGAGGGAUGUGGAAUUCCAGGUGUAGCGGUGAAAUGCGUAGAUAUCUGGAGGAACAUCGGUGGCGAAGGCGGCAUCCUGGACCGGUAUUGACGCUGAGGCGCGAAAGCCAGGGGAGAAAAAGGG
rnacentral:rRNA from 1 species